UGAAUGAACACUGACCUGAGCAGCUCCUGGUUUGUGAGCAGCUCUUUCAGGUGCUGGGACAGCAUCUUCUUCUCCAGAGCCAGGUGGAUCCAGGCCCGGGCCUGACCCACCUCAGACAGACCCUCGCUCAUGGUCUGGAUGAACCUGAAGGAGCAGAUACACAUCACGUUUGCUCUAAUUACCUCAUGUCUUGUAUCAACGACCCUCUCAGGACCAGAGCGCCUUCAUCAAACGUCCUCUGCUCCAAACCGCCACACCCUGAACAGACAGCAAUCAGACGCCAAUGAUCAUUCAACUCUCAGCCUCAUUAUUUGCACAAAGAGAACAAAACAGCCCGGGCUGUGCUCUGACCUGGAGACUCAGCUGGUGCCUCUGUCUUCCCAUGUGCUGCCUGGUAGUGAAGCAGAUGGGACCAAAGAGCGGACUUCCCCUGUUCAGAAUAAACACACUCGUCAAUAUUCA